ACGUUUUGACUCUUUCCGCCUUGGUCUUACCACUCAGUUUAUAGUUCGCCUUCUCAGCUUCUGGGAUUCAUGGAAAUCAUUAUUCUCUUCCUAGAUGAAAAUGUAGCGACAUCUUUUUCUAUCACCACUGAUCUAUUGCAUCUGUCCUAUAAUCAAUUAUCUAACUCUUGCCUGAUAUGUCUAUUUUGACUCAAUCUGCAGAAUUCAGUGAUCCACAGAUUCAUAUCCAUUGGUUGUACCAAUCACUACUGUCUUUCUUUGCGAGCAGGCUCCAUUGUAAAAGUUGAUGGGUCUGAGGUUUCACGUUUCACACUGCACAUGUACAAGAUUACUGAAAAUCCAAUCUUGAAAGUUUAUUUAUAUUAUGUUUUUGAAUCAUUAACCUAGAUUUCAACUUGCAGAUGUAGUUGGCCAAAUACGUUCUAUCGAAGGCUCAGACCUCAACAACAAUGCAGCCAAAAAAAAUUCUCACAUUACUCUUCAUUACCAGUUUAUAACUAUGUUUUCUAUAUUUCCACCACAAGAACUGUGAUCGUCUACUUAUCUUUGUGGGACGAGGCUGCCUCAACUUUUAGAGGUCUUUUGAAUUCAGGGGAAAAAUCCCAGUCUGUAGUGGUAGUCAAUACGGUCUAUCCAAAGAUAUUUGGAGAUUUCUGCAGGGAACCUCUAUCUCAUCUCCACACCAGCUACCAAAUUCUAUUUGACACUGACCUUCCUGUAGUUAAAGAGUUCACCACCAAUUCGGGAGGACAGAGGUUUUCCCCUGUGUUGAUACCAUGGAAGGGAUUAAGAAAAAGGAUCUAAACACAUUUAUCUCUAACUCCAACGAGUAAAAGUAUAAGCCAAGCUUUAAUAAUAUAUUGUUUGUUAUUAGUGACUUCAAAAUAGCAAAUUUAUUUUCUCUGUUUAGACAUAGAAAGCUGAUUUUCUCUGUAAAACUCGGAUUCCUUGUGUCCUCCAACAAAAUGGAUAGUCUUUUGUCUCAUACAACGGAUGCAACAGGAAGUUGGUGUCCUGCCUAUGUUACAAGACUUUUUUCUCUAAACUGGUACGAAAACCAUAUUAUCGGUAAACAAGGGUUAUGAUGGGUUACUCAGAUUCAGGGAAAGACGCUGGGCGUCUCUCAGCUGCUUGGGAGCUAUACAAAGCUCAAGAAGAGCUUGUGAAGGUCACUAAGCAAUAUGGAGUGAAGCUAACUAUGUUUCAUGGCCGUGGUGGCGUGGUCGGAAGAGGAGGUGGUCCCACCCAUCUUGCUAUAUUGUCUCAGCCACCGGAUCCAGUUAAUGGCUCACCCCGAGUGACAGUUUAAGGUGAAGUCAUUGAGCAGUCAUUGUAUAACAAACUUCUUGUCUCGAAAUAUUUAUGGGCCUUUGGAGAGAAACUCAGAAACAACUUUGAAGAAACCAAGAGUCUCAUUCUCCAGGUAUAAACAAAAGCAAAAACAAAGUACUCUGUUUCUUAUUCCUUUUACUUUGCAGUGCCAUUAAAAUCUAUUUGUUGCAGACUGCUGGACACAUAUCUUCUUGAAGGGUAUUGCUGCAGGAUUGCAAAACACCGGUUAAGUGAGUGAGUCUUUGAGAUAAAGCAGACUUUUGAGUCUCUCUUUUAUGUCUUCCCUUCUAUAGAAUAAUCUCUUUUUUCAAUCGAAAAUAAUAAAAUAAUAACUACGGUUGGAUUACAAUAUACUUUAUGUAUCCACACCGUUGAGAAAAGUUUUAAUCUUGUCCUUGUAUGAAACAAAACAAUGCUCUGUUUCAGAGACAGUGAUCAAUCUUAAAAUUUUAUCAUUUUGUCCU